GUUAAGGCCAGUAGGGCUGUGAGAUGUGAGCAAGACCAGAAGUUGGGACUAAUUGUGAAGGCCAAAUGGGUAAGGCUGGGUAGAUAAAAUCAGUUGGGUGAUUCGGGUUGGUAAGGACAUGAAGUUAAGGCCAGUAGGGUAAGGCCAGGUGGGUAAACCAGGUGCAUAAGGCCAGCAGAUUAAUGCUGAAUGAGUAAGGUCAGGAGGUUAAUAAUGCAGGUGGGUAAAUUUAUUUUGGCAAAACCAUGAUGUUAACACUGGGUCAGGAAGCCAAGCGAUUGAAAAAGCCAGAUGGGUAAAGCCAGUAAAAUUAAGGCCAUCAAGUACAGCUAGGUGGAUAACUCCAACUGGGUAAGGCUGAGAAGUUAAUGCUAGGCAGAUUAGGCUAGGAGGUUGAGGCCAUGUGACUAAGAAUGAAAGGCUAAGACCAGGUGAGAAGGCCAGGUUGGUAAGCUAUUGAGGCCAUGAGGUUAAGGCCAGAUGGGGAAGUCCAAGUGGGAAAUGUAAGGUGUGUUAAGUCCAGGUGGGGGGGGAAAUCUUGGUAAUAAGGGCAGGGAAAUAAGUCCAGGGGAGGAAACCUAGGGAGGUAAAUUAGAAAAAUAAGACUGGGGACUAAGCCCUGGUAAAUAAAACUAGAAGGUUAAGGACAGCUGUGUAAACUAAGCAUGAAACCCAUGAUGAGUAAGACUAGGUAGGAAAACUAGGUAGGUAAUCCAGGUUGCUGAGACUAUAAGGUUAAGGCCCAUAGGUUUAGGCCAGGUGUGGAAAGCUAAUGGGUUCUGGCAAGGGUGAGAAAAUGAAGUGGGUAAGGCCAGGUAUGUCAG
rnacentral:lncRNA from 1 species